rnacentral:rRNA from 1 species
UACGGGGGGGAGCAAGCGUUGUUCGGAUUUACUGGGCGUAAAGGGCGCGUAGGCGGCCAGCGCAAGUCAGUUGUGAAAUCUCCGGGCUUAACUCGGAACGGUCAACUGAUACUGCGCGGCUAGAGUGCAGAAGGGGCAACUGGAAUUCUCGGUGUAGCGGUGAAAUGCGUAGAUAUCGAGAGGAACACCUGCGGCGAAGGCGGGUUGCUGGGCUGACACUGACGCUGACAGCGCGAAAGCUA